UUGCCAGCCCGCUCAGAACUUAAAGGAAUUGACGGGGGCCCGCACAAGCGGAGGAGCAUGUGGUUAAUUCGAUGAUACGCGAGGAACCUUACCUGGGCUCGAACGUAAGAUGACUGUAGGUGAAAGCUUACAUCUCUUCGGAGCAUUUUACGAGGUGCUGCAUGGUUGUCGUCAGCUCGUGCCGUGAGGUGUCGGGUUAAGUCCCAUAACGAGCGCAACCCCUACCUUUAGUUGCCAUCAGGUUAAGCUGGGGACUCUAAAGGAACUGCCUACGCAAGUAGUGAGGAAGGCGGGGAUGACGUCAAAUCAGCACGGCCCUUACGUCCAGGGCUACACACGUGCUACAAUGGCCGAUACAGAGGGCAGCUACCUGGUGACAGGAUGCAAAUCUCCAAAGUCGGUCUCAGUUCGGAUCGGAGUCUGCAACCCGACUCCGUGAAGUUGGAUUCGCUAGUAAUCGCGCAUCAGCCAUGGCGCGGUGAAUACGUUCCCGGGCCUU
rnacentral:rRNA from 1 species